rnacentral:rRNA from 1 species
CACGUAGGCGGACAUUUAAGUCAGGGGUGAAAUUCCGGGGCUCAACCUCGGAACUGCCUUUGAUACUGGGUGUCUUGAGUGUGGAAGAGGUCAGUGGAAUUGCGAGUGUAGAGGUGAAAUUCGUAGAUAUUCGCAGGAACACCAGUGGCGAAGGCGGCUGACUGGUCCACAACUGACGCUGAGGUGCGAAAGCGUGGGGAGCAAACA